rnacentral:rRNA from 1 species
GAUGAACGCUGGCGGCGUGCCUAAUACAUGCAAGUCGAGCGAACAGACGAGGAGCUUGCUCCUCUGACGUUAGCGGCGGACGGGUGAGUAACACGUGGAUAACCUACCUAUAAGACUGGGAUAACUUCGGGAAACCGGAGCUAAUACCGGAUAAUAUAUUGAACCGCAUGGUUCAAUAGUGAAAGACGGUUUUGCUGUCACUUAUAGAUGGAUCCGCGCCGCAUUAGCUAGUUGGUAAGGUAACGGCUUACCAAGGCAACGAUGCGUAGCCGACCUGAGAGGGUGAUCGGACACACUGGAACAGAGACACGGUGCAGACUCCUACGGGAGGCAGCAGUAGGGAAUCUUCCGCAAUGGGCGAAAGCUUGACGGAGCAACGCCGCGUGAGUGAUGAAGGUCUUCGGAUCGUAAAACUCUGUUAUUAGGGAAGAACAAAUGUGUAAGUAACUAUGCACGUCUUGACGGUACCUAAUCAGAAAGCCACGGCUAACUACGUG